rnacentral:rRNA from 1 species
GGAAUCUUCCACAAUGGGCGAAAGCCUGAUGAAGCAACGCCGCGUGUGUGAUGAAGGCUUUCGGGUCGUAAAGCACUGUUGUAUGGGAAGAACAGCUAGAAUAGGAAAUGAUUUUAGUUUGACGGUACCAUACCAGAAAGGGACGGCUAAAUACGUGCCAG